GAUGGACGCUAGCGAUAGGCUUAACACAUGCAAGUCGAGGGGCAGCAUGGUCUUAGCUUGCUAAGACUGAUGGCGACCGGCGCACGGGUGCGUAACGCGUAUGCAACUUGCCUCACAGAGGGGGAUAACCCGUCGAAAGACGGACUAAUACCGCGUACACUCCAUCUUGGGCAUCCAAGGUAGAGGAAAUGAAAUUCGCUGUGAGAUAGGCAUGCGUCCCAUUAGCUAGUUGGUGAGGUAACGGCUCACCAAGGCGACGAUGGGUAGGGGAACUGAGAGGUUGAACCCCCACACUGGUACUGAGACACGGACCAGACUCCUACGGGAGGCAGCAGUGAGGAAUAUUGGUCAAUGGGCGAGAGCCUGAACCAGCCAAGUCGCGUGAAGGAUGACUGUCUUAUGGAUUGUAAACUUCUUUUAUACGGGAAUAACAAGAGUCACGUGUGACUCCCUGCAUGUACCGUAUGAAUAAGCAUCGGCUAACUCCGUG
rnacentral:rRNA from 1 species